CACACACACACACACGUAACAUUAUUGAUUGAUCUUCUGCUUUGGAACCAAUGUGCAAUAUUGAUUCUAAAAUGGAAAGUAUGGGUUUAAAAAAAAAGAAAAUAGGUUAAGGGAGCAAUGGUGUCUCAAUGGAUAGAAAGCUAGGCCUGUAUAUAUAUAUAUAUAUAUUUUUUUCAGUUUCUCCCUAUCAAUAUUUUUGUAUUGAUUUUCCUAUUCCCUCAGUCUUGUUUCCUGGGAUCAAACAAUCUGGCCAUCAACUUGUUAAUGGAUCCAUUUAGCAAUCUGGACCUGUGAAAGACCAACCUUGGAGUCAUCUGUUCCACGUUUCCAAUUCUCAUGUUUGACCCUUACUAACACAUUGUAAUGUGACCAAGAGCAAGCCACUAAAUCUCAGUGUUCCAGGCAUUUCUCUACAUUGUAGUAUAGUAACUGUUCUGCUUUGAAAGAAUUUUCAUACUAGGAAUUCUCUCCAUUCAUGAAAUCACAGUCUCAGACAACAAGGGUUCUAACUAGUUGUUUAAUACCUGAAGGAAAGGACUCAUGUGGGGUGUCACUAUCAUGAAGAGGAAACAAACUUCCAAAACAUCUUGAGGUUUCUAUGAUGCCAAAGCACUGAUUCUUGGGUAAGUGGGAAUCAGAACUAUAUGGGAAAUCACAGCCAAGGAGGAAUCACAAGACAAGAUGGUGGACUAGACAAGGAAGAAAACUCAACUGAGGUGUUCCUGCUGAGGGUUAGAGUACUGAACCUGAAGUUAAGAAAACUAGUUCAAAUUCUUCUUCAAAUGCUUAGUAGCUGUGUGACCUUGGGCAAGUUAUUUUAUCUUUGCUUCAGUUUCUUCAUCUAUAAAAUGGGGAUAAUAAUGGCACCUAUUUCCCAGGAUUGCUGUGAGGAUAAAAUUUGAUAAAAUUUGUAAUGUGAAUUGCAAACCUUAAAGUGCUAUAUGAAGAUCAUUUGUUAUUAUUUUUCUACUCUGGGAUAAAAUACGAAAAAAUGUCCUGCUGUAGAAGUAAAUCCACCAAUGACUCUAUUUGUAAUUUAAUAGCUAUAUCCUAGAAUUUAAAAGCCAAGAUUGACAACAAUAAAACACUCAUAAUAUAAAUUCCAGGUCCUUGUGUGACAGGGUACCAGAGGAAUAUAUACUUUGGAAUAGAAAGACCUUAGUACUCAGUAAAUUAUAUCAUAUCAUUGAUUGACUCUAAAAAUUAUGUCUCUAUUACCUUGAUUCCACCAUCACAUUACAAUAAUCAUCAAAAUCAGAAACACUAUCAACAUAUUAAGCACCAGUGGUAUAAAGGAUAUUAUACUUUGCAUAUUUGCAUAUGUGUGUGUGUGUGUGUGUGUGUGUGUGUGUGUGUAUUUUGGAGGUAGAAGAUAUACACAGCAUGUGACAUUUCCUGAUGUCUGAGAGCUCAUUGACUAACUGGGGGAGAUAAGAUAUUAAUAUGGAAUAUGUUCUGUAAUAAAAAAAAUGUAUACAAUUAGUGUCAAAUAAUGGGUACAUAAAACAAAUGCUCUUAUUUACCCUGCAUUUUGUUUGUGCAUAUUUUAUGGAUGCUGAUUAUGUGUAUUUUGUCAGCUCUUAUCCUUGAUAUUUUUUCCUCUCUAGGUUUUUGGGGUACCACUCUCUCCUUGUUUUCUUAAUAUUUGAUUAUUCCUUCUUAAUCUCUUCUUCUAGAUCCUCUUCCAGAUGACAUCCUCAAACUAUUAAUGUUCCUCAGGAUUCUGUCCUGGGUCCUCUUCUGGUCUCCCUCUGUACUACUUUAUUUGGUGAUCUCAUUAACAUCCAUGAAUUUAAAGAUGAAAUCUAUAAGGAUGAUCCUCAAAUGUACUUAUUCUACUUCACCCUCUCUGUUGGCUCCUAAUCUUGAAUUUUCAACUGCCUUUCAAACAUCUCUAAUUGAAUGUCUCAACAUGUUCAAAACCAAAUUCAUUAUCUUUCCCCCUAAACUCUUUCCCCUCCUACCAUCUUCCUAGCCCCUCAGGCUUGCAACAUAGGUGUCAUCUUUGAUUCCUUGCUAUCUUUAAUCUCUUUCUCCCCCAUAUUCAAUCUGUUGCCAAGCCUAUUAAUUAUACCUAUAGAACAUUUCCCAAAUACAACCCCUUCUUUCCUCUGAUACUGCCACCAUUCUGGCACAUGCUCUCAUGCUUGGACUAUUAUCAAAAUGCUGAUGUGUCUGCUUGUCUGUCUCAAGUCUCUCCCUACUCCAAACUAUCAUCCUUGCAACCACCAAAGUGAUUUUCCUAAAGUGUGUGUCCAAUCAUGCCAUCUCCUAAAGAAAAAUAUCCAUUGGUUCCUUAUUACCUCCAGAAUUCUUACACCUUACUCCUUACCAUCCUUCUUCCAUCUUCAUUCAAGUGACAUUGGACUCCAUGCUAUUGCAUGAAGAAGAUACUAAAAUCUCUUGGCAUUGAGCAUUUUUUCUUGCUCUCCUGAAUGCCUGUAAUACUUUCCCUCCUCAUCCCUACUGAGUCCUAUCUAAAUAAAGUCCCAUUUAAAAUCUCAUCUUCUAGAGGAAGCUUUUCUCUCUCUUAAAGUGACUUUUCUCAUUUAUUUAUUUCCUUUUUUUUUCUGUAUAUAACUUGUUGGCACAUGCUUCUUUGCUUGUGACUUCUCUCAUUAGUUUGUGAGAUACUUUAGGGCAGGGGCUUACUUUUGCCUUUUUUAUUUCCAGGAGUUAUCACAGUUCCUGGAACGUAGUAGGUGCUUAAUAAAUGUCCAUUUAUUGAUUAAGAGAAAUGUCUUUAUAGUUCUGAUCUUUCAAUUGCUAAAUAAGCUGAGUUUUUAGUGGAAAUUGAUUCAUCAAGAUAUGUGCAAAGGCAAAAAUGAAGCAGUUCCUGUACUCAAGAAACUUUCAUCCUCCUGAGAGACAUAAUAUGUAACAGAGACAAGUAAAUACAAGGUAAUAUGAAGAGUGCUUAAAUGUGAAGUUAAGCCUCUGAAAAGUGGAGUAAAGGAAGGACUCCAGGUAUGGGAAUCCACUUGAAUGAAUAAGUCAAGCAAGAGAUGGAGUAUUAAGUGAGAGGAGCUGUUAGUAAACAACUUGACUAGAAUAUAGAAUGUGUUAAGGGUUAUGCUAUGAAAUAAAAUUGAGAAGAUUAUGAAUAUUUAAAUGCCCAGCUAAAAUGUUUGGAUUUUGUCUUACAGGCAAUAAAGAAGCACUGAAGAUUUUUAAGAAAGAAAAUGAAAUGGGUAGACCUCAGUCUUAAAGUUGGUUAUUUUCAUAGGUAUAUAAGAAGUGGGUUGGAGAUUGACUAAUGGCAGGGAGAGCAGUUAAGAAGCAAAAUAAAAAUAAAUAGAAAUAAAAGUUUGGAGAAUGAUGACAAACCGAACAACCAUGUUGGCAGUGAAUAAGGUAUGAGAGACAGAGAAUCAAUAGUACUUGGCAACUAAUUAUUUAUGGAGAGUCAUGUGGGAAGUGAGAAAAGAAUCUAGGAUAACUAAGAGGUUACAAACUUGAAUGAUGGAAAAGGUGGUCAUACCCUGAUGAGAAAUGAAGAAGUAUGGCCAAAGAGGAAUGUAAAAAAAAAGAUAAUGUUUCAUUUUGUAGACAUUGAGUUUGAGAUAAUGAUGGGUUAUCAAAGUAGAAAUGUACAGUGGGCAAUUUAGUGAUGGGAACUUGAGUUCAGGUGAGGGAUUAAGCUACAUAUGUUAAGACUGUACAUUUGGGAAUUAUCUGAUUAGAGAAGGUAAUUUAAUUCAUAGGAAGUGAUGCAAUUACCAAGGUAGAGAAGAGAGUGGGGGCAUAGAAGAAAGAGGAUAGAGAUAAAGCCUUAGGGAAAAAUGAAUUUUGAUUCAGUCAAGAACACUAUGAAAGAGUAGUCAGGUAAAAGAAGAAAUAGGAGAGAACAUUGUCAUGGAAGCAAAGUAAGAAUAAUAAUGACAGCUAACAUUUUGAUGUUCUUCAGGUGUUUCACUCAUGCCUGAUUCUUUGUGACAUUGUUUGGGAUUUUCUUGGAAAAAAGACUGGAGUGGUCCACUAUACCACCCAGGCAUCUCCCUAGUGAAGAGAACAAUAGUGCAAAGGGAUAUCAUCCUUCUUGCAGCAAGACUGAUUCUCCCUACCCAUUUGUUCUUUUCUUCCAUUGGUGUCAUCUGGACUUUAGGCCCCAAAAUAAGAUGCUUGGGACAAAACCAGCAAAUGAAAGGAGACAAUCGACAAAGGAGCAUGAGCAUACAACCGGGGAAAAUUGUUAUGUGAGAGACCCUUGAUCCUCCUAUUCUCUAUUUUUGCCAUUCCCUCCUCAGGUACAAAGAAAGGAUGGAGAUGAGAUGAAAGCAGUGAGAGGAAUAAACUCACCAGAAUCUUAUAAAGUGACAGUUAAACAAAGAGAAUGUCCAAGAACUGAGAUUUGGAGAAAGAACUGCAUUCUCUUCCCAAGAAUACCCUGAAUAAGGGGCCUCCCCUGCAUUCAGUUUCGCCUGGAGACUGCAAAUCCCCAGGACUUGGGGGAUAUUGAUGUGGCUCUGACUAAGCUGCUGUUCCUCCUCUUUGAGCCACCUGAGAACUCAGAGAGCUCAAGUUUCCUCCAGGAAAGCCAUCUUUACACAGCGCCAGGAGAUCCACUGUGCUCUUAAAGUGAACAGCUUGUAGCUCCGAGUGAGCAAAUCCUUCGCUCAGAGGAAGAGGGCAGUGCUGCUUUGUUUAUCUGGGGCGUGCUUUGCCUUUCUCCUGAAGAAUCUGCGCUAAGCUCCAGUUGGAGAUGCAAUGAGACCUUGAGAAAGCUGCCGACAAAUAGCCAUCCAGAUACCGGAAGGACUUCAACACUUAGAUUGAUCUCUGCUCUCGAGGAUGGGGAUUUUCCCUCCCCUGACCACACAGAUAGAACCCCAAUCAUGGCUGUUGUCUGACCUCUAUGACUUUUUCCUACAUUCUCCCAUGAGCUCACCACAAAGGCUCUUCCCAAUGUACAGAUGGGUUUUUGUUCUUGUUUUGGGCUUUCUCUUGAUAGUAUGUCCAGUUGAAAGAACUGUGAAUGGGAAUCAAAACAUCACGUUCCAAUCCUUCAUCUAAUUAUCUGUGUGAUCUUAGCAAAAUUAAGUUUUUAGGUCUCGGUUUCUUCAUAUGGAAGGGAGGGAUUGGGAUUAGAUGGACUCUAAAUUUGCUUCAACUUCUAGACCCACCUGAUUAUGAGGAUAGCAAUGGAGCCUGCAGUGACAGUCCACUAUUAUCUUUAGCUCUUGACUAUAUUUUGGCCAUCAAUUUUUCUUGAUGGCAUCUUUUUACUCUACUUCAUAUUUCUCUGUAAUACGUUGUAGGUUAUUUAUUUAUAUCUGCCGUGAGCUUUUCCAUUGCCCUCCAGCUGGCACUUAUUUUUAAUUCUUCAGAGACUGUAGUGUUCUCUAUCUCAGACAUACAAGUAGCUAUAGAAAAUUACCAGAGACUCUAUAAAUCACAUUUCAAUUUAAUAUAAUCUAGUGAACAGGCAGCCAUUUAAAGAUAUAAAACAAUGGUGUGGACCCUCAUGAGGUGAUGAAUUUCCCUGUAUUGGCAAUGUUCAAGCAUGAAACUAGAUCAUUUUUCUUUAGGAAUGUCAUAGUAAGAAUUCAUGAAUUGUGUGGGAGACUCAGCUAGAUGAUUGCUAAGAUUCCUUCCAACCUAAUAUUCCAUAAUGAUGAGUAGUCCUGUUACAUACCAUCUAUGCAAUUUGAGGUAUCUCGUACAUAAAAUAUUCUGCAUUUUUUUUUUGCCACAUCAAUGUAACCUAGGAUUCGCACCUGCCAUGUGUAAAGGAUUCUCCUUAUUACUAGGAAAACUCUUUCUCUUCACCAGUAAAAAAAAAAAAAGUCUUAUGAAAACGUCAUGUUUGAGACCUAGAUUACACUAGAAUGUGGGAUCUUUAUGGUCUGCAGACUGUUUUUACCUUUCUUUGCAACUUCACAGUUUUGUACAGAGCCCAGAGCAUAACAAGCAUUCAAUAAAUAUUAAUAAAUGCUGGCUGCUGAUUGUUGACUGACUGA